rnacentral:misc_RNA from 1 species
GAUGAAGAACGUAGUGAAAUGCGAUAAGUAAUGUGAAUUGCAGAAUUCAGUGAAUCAUCGAAUCUUUGAACGCACAUUGCGCCCCCUGGUAUUCCUGGGGGCAUGCCUGUUCGAGCGUCAUUAACAACCAAUCGGGCGGGGCUUUUGCAUGCUCCCGCUCGGCCAUGGGGGAUGGACGUCGUCGGACGCCCACCCCCGAAAUGCAACGGCGGACGGCCACCCGUGGCACUGCGGCGUAGUAAGUUAACCCUUCGCGCGCGCCCACGGAGUGGACUGCCCGGCCGCUUGAACCCCCACACAUCCUACGGUUGACCUCGGAUCAGGUAGGGAUACCCGCUGAACUUAAGCAUAUCAAUAAGCGGAGGA